CUGGGCAUCACAAGCUUUAAAAAUAAAAUUGGACAAAUGAAUGUUGCUUUUCAGCUUUCUGUUUUCAGAUUAGUUUUUCUUUCCCUCUGUGUGUGUGUUUGUGUGUGUGUGAGCACUGUGUGUAUGUCUAGGUGCAGUUUUUCCUCUCCGCCGAAUGUUGAAGGCUAUACUACUUGUGAUUGAUGCAUUUCUGUCACACCAAGAGUCUCAUUUUCUCAUCAGUCCUUACGGAGUUGAAACCGCAGGUCUUUAUAUUAUGCUGAGAGAGCGGGUCAGGGCUGUCCACUCAAACUUUGGAGAAGUUUGAGUCUCAAGAGAUCAUCUCCAGUGAAUUAGCCGCUUUUGACCAGAGUCAAAGUUCCUUUCUCCUCUUUGUUGUCUGAAGGCGAUAAGAAGAACAGAGCAGUGGACAGGGUCAGGAUUUGAUCGGUUUUUGUGAAUUCAUAAUCCAGCCCUGAUUGCUCAUUGGAAAUGCAAGCGCUCAAGAUAUAACUGCAAUACGGCCCUGCAGGGAAAUAACAUGCAUGCAUGGACAAAUACCUACGGUCAUAUCUCUUUCUAACUGUGGUGACAACACUUGAUGGCCUGGACACAACGAGAAAAAGCCCCACUAUUGCAUUCAGCUGUGACUCUGUGUUUCCCAGCAUGCCGGAGGUGCAAUACCCAAUGAGUGACAUCAUUAAUUACAUGCCUCUGACUUCUGAAAUGCCAGCUGAGGAGGGAGGCAUACAUUUCAUCUGCAGACUGUUCCAAAAAUUGUCUUUCAAGCCAGACUGACAGCACGCAUUCCAAUCACAGGCUCACCCAGGUCUGAAAUUGCAGUUCGUUCACCAGCUGUGAUGCACUGAGUGAGUCUUAAUGUGUUCUGUGUGUAAGCUCACUGAGAUAAAUUAAUUCCAUGACAUGAUAUAUGACAAGGAUCUGUAAUAAUUUACAGUAUUUAAAUGGUAAAGCUCGGGGGCAUACUGAAUAAUGGUUCGAAUGGAAUAGCAAAGUAGUCUUUUAAUAGGAUUUUGACCUGAGGUUAUUGUGGCCAGAGUUUUUUGUUGCACAAGAUUAUUGACCACCUAAUGAGUUUCUACAUAUUAAAGCAAUAAGCCACAAGAGGCCGUGCAUAGCAAUGAUUUCACCACAGUUAAGUGGGUUUUAUUCAUGAUGUGAAUCAGACCUCCAUUUACAAAAUGGCAACGGCAAUGUGAUCUCAUAAAUAUAUGUAGAUAUUCAUGUAUUUAUGCACGUAAAUACAUCAUGCACUUUCAGCCUUUAAAAUGUAGGCAUGUUUCAAAUUGUAAACAAAAGUUUACACAUAAUGUUAGGAUCUUAGAAUGAUGACUACAUAAAAUGAAUAGGUUGGUUUUUAUUU